GCCAAAUUAAGGUGAAACCGCGAAAGGCUCAUUAAAUCAGUUAUGGUUCCUUAGAUCGUACCCACUUUUACUUGGAUAACUGUGGUAAUUCUAGAGCUAAUACAUGCAAAUAGAGCCCCGACCGGAGACGGAAGGGGUGCUUUUAUUAGAUCAAAACCAAUCGGCGACGGGUCAAACCGUUGUCGUAAUAUUUGGUGACUCUGAAUAACUUUGUGCUGAUCGCACGGUCUAGCACCGGCGACGCAUCUUUCAAAUGUCUGCCUUAUCAACUGUCGAUGGUAGGUUCUGCGCCUACCAUGGUUGUAACGGGUAACGGGGAAUCAGGGUUCGAUUCCGGAGAGGGAGCCUGAGAAACGGCUACCACAUCCAAGGAAGGCAGCAGGCGCGCAAAUUACCCACUCCCGGCACGGGGAGGUAGUGACGAAAAAUAACGAUACGGGACUCAUCCGAGGCCCCGUAAUCGGAAUGAGUACAUUUUAAAAUCCUUAACAAGGAUCAAUUGGAGGGCAAGUCUGGUGCCAGCAGCUGCGGUAAUUCCAGCUCCAAUAGCGUAUAUUAAAGUUGUUGCGGUUAAAAAGCUCGUAGUCGAAUCUGUGUCCUACGCCGUCGGUUCACCGCUCGCGGUGUUCAACUGGCGUGCCGUGGGACGUCCUGCCGGUGGGCUUAGUCUUUCGGGGCUGCCCAACUAAAAAUCCCAUCGCGGUGCUCUUAAUUGAGUGUCGAGGUGGGCCGGCACGUUUACUUUGAACAAAUUAGAGUGCUUAAAGCAGGCUAAAAUUUCGCUUGAAUACUGUGUGCAUGGAAUAAUGGAAUAGGACCUCGGUUCUAUUUUGUUGGUUUUCGGAACCCCGAGGUAAUGAUUAAUAGGAACGGAUGGGGGCAUUCGUAUUGCGACGUUAGAGGUGAAAUUCUUGGAUCGUCGCAAGACGGACAUAAGCGAAAGCAUUUGCCAAAAACGCUUUCAUUGAUCAAGAACGAAAGUUAGAGGUUCGAAGGCGAUCAGAUACCGCCCUAGUUCUAACCAUAAACUAUGCCAGCUAGCGAUCCGCCGACGUUCCUCCGAUGACUCGGCGGGCAGCUUCCGGGAAACCAAAGCUUUUGGGUUCCGGGGGAAGUAUGGUUGCAAAGCUGAAACUUAAAGGAAUUGACGGAAGGGCACCACCAGGAGUGGAGCCUGCGGCUUAAUUUGACUCAACACGGGAAACCUCACCAGGCCCGGACACCUGAAGGAUUGACAGAUUGAGAGCUCUUUCUUGAUUAGGUGGGUGGUGGUGCAUGGCCGUUCUUAGUUGGUGGAGCGAUUUGUCUGGUUAAUUCCGAUAACGAACGAGACUCUAACCUAUUAACUAUAAAAUUAA
rnacentral:rRNA from 1 species